CCUACGGGAGGCAGCAGUAGGGAAUCUUCCACAAUGGGCGAAAGCCUGAUGGAGCAACGCCGCGUGGGUGAGGAAGGUCUUCGGAUCGUAAAACCCUGUUGUUAGAGAAGAAAGUGCGUGAGAGUAACUGCUCACGUUUCGACGGUAUCUAACCAGAAAGCCACGGCUAACUACGUGCCAGCAGCCGCGGUAAUACGUAGGUGGCAAGCGUUAUCCGGAUUGAUUGGGCGUAAAGGGAACGUAGGCGGCCUUGUAAGUCUGGUGUGAAAGCUUUCGGCUUAACCGGUGAAGGGCAUUGGAAACUGGGGGACUUGAGAGCAGAAGAGGGGGGUGGAA
rnacentral:rRNA from 1 species